GGCCUGCUGGCUCAAUGGUAGAGUGCUUGACUACGACCUGUGCACCAGGAAGUCAUCAAGAGGUUGCAGGUAAGUACCAAGCAAGAAGAGACGUUUGAUUGAUCACUGCUAACGUAUAUCCAAGGUUCGAGCCCUGCGUAGGUCA